rnacentral:rRNA from 2 species
UUACGCUGUUAUCCCUAAGGUAAUUUAAUCUUAUAAUCAAAAUAAAUGGAUCAAACAACUAUAAAUCAAUAUAACCAAAACCAAGAGGAGUUAAACAUAUUCCUCUCAUCACCCCAACAAAACAAAAAGCCCACUCACCAACAAAACAAACAAACAACCAAACAGGAAAUAAACCAAAUGUCAAACUCUAUAGGGUCUUCUCGUCCCACAAAAACAUUUAAGAAUUUUAACUCAAAGACCAAAUUCAAUAAAACAUUCAACACUAAGACAGCCCGUGCCUCGUCAAGCCAUUCAUUCCAGAUCACAAUUAAAGAACUAAUGAUUAUGCUACCUUUGCACGGUCAAAAUACCGCGGCCCUUCAACACUCAAUGUCAGCGGGCAGGCCAUACUUCAAAAACUAACAAGAAAAGAUGUUUUUGAUAAACAGGCG